rnacentral:rRNA from 1 species
UACGAAGGGGGCUAGCGUUGCUCGGAAUCACUAGGGCGUAAAGCGCACGUUAGGCGGAUCUUUAAAGUCCAGGGGUUGAAAUCCUGGAGCUCAACUACCAGAACUGCCUUUGAUACUGGAGGAUCUCGAAGUUCCGGAAGAGGUGAGUGGAACUCCGAGUGUAGAGGUGAAAAUUCGUAGAUAUUCGGAAAGAACACCAGUGGCGGAAGGCG